UGGCUCAGAACGAACGCUGGCGGCAGGCCUAACACAUGCAAGUCGAACGUGAAGCCACCUUCGGGUGGUGGAAAGUGGCAGACGGGUGAGUAACGCGUGGGAACGUACCUUUCGGUUCGGAAUAACCCAGGGAAACUUGGGCUAAUACCGGAUACGCCCUUCGGGGGAAAGAUUCAUUGCCGAAAGAUCGGCCCGCGUCGGAUUAGCUAGUUGGUAGGGUAAUGUCUUACCAAGGCGACGGUAAUAGCUGGUGGAGGGGANGACCANCCACACU
rnacentral:rRNA from 1 species